UACGUAGGGUGCGAGCGUUGUCCGGAAUUACUGGGCGUAAAGAGCUCGUAGGUGGUUUGUCGCGUUGUUCGUGAAAACCGGGGGCUUAACCCUCGGCGUGCGGGCGAUACGGGCAGACUUGAGUACUGCAGGGGAGACUGGGAUUCCUGGUGUAGCGGUGGAAUGCGCAGAUAUCAGGAGGAACACCGGUGGCGAAGGCGGGUCUCUGGGCCGAAACUGACGCUGAGGAGCGAAAGCGUGGGGAGCAAACAGG
rnacentral:rRNA from 1 species